GGAUAUCGCCAAGCGGUAAGGCCUCGGACUCUGACUCCGAUAUCGUAGGUUCGAAUCCUGCUAUCCC
rnacentral:tRNA from 1 species